rnacentral:rRNA from 1 species
GAUCUUUAUUUUUAUUUUUUAUAAAUUAAAAAGAUUAAAAAUAUUUAUAUUUUAAUUAAAAAUUUUACUGGGGUGGUAUUAAAAUUUAAUAAACUUUUAUUAUUAAUUACAUAAAUAUAUGGUUAAUUGAUCCAAUUUUAUUGAUUAAAAAAUUAAGUUACCUUAGGGAUAACAGCGUAAUUUUUUUUUAGAGUUCAUAUCGACAAAAAAGAUUGC